UGCUGGACACCCAGCUCCUGGUGGCUUUCAGUCUUCGGUGCAGGGGUGGAAUAAAAAUCUUCAAAACCACGACGGAAAAAAAGCAUCCCCCAGUGAGCUUCUACAGACCUAAACUCUGCGAGACCUCGUGGAGGUGUGCGCUGCCCGUUGGGCUCUGCUGGGCAGGUUCUGAGCCGCCGCGUGCCUCCUGCCGGACCACAACCGUGGCCGUGCCCCGCAGCCGCUCGGCUGGUGAACAUGCCGGCACGCAGAUUUAUCGCCCUGCCGUUCCAAGAGGGGCUGUUGGUUCGGUGCCAGCACCACGGCAUGUCUGACUGAAGGCGCCUCCAAGGGUCAAGCCCUCUAAAAAUCCUGUCCUACUUCCUCCUGAAGCCCAGCGGGUUGGUAAAUCUGUGAGCAGAGUGCUGCCCCUCUGGCUGCUGCUCUCCGUGCCAGAUUAGGGGAAGCCUCUCUGGGCUGCGCGGGGACAUCACCGUCGCCUGCAGGGAGAAGCACACACCACAGCACUGAGCCUCUCCCCCGGAUCUGUCACUUCUGCAAGUAUCAGCCCUUCUGAGUUUAUUUAUAUGAGUUUAUUUUUAAAAUAAAGGCAACGCCGAGCACAGGACGCCCAUCUCCAGUGCCCGAGCACCGAAACGGUGGUGCUCUGGGUGCGCUGGGGGUUGCGUGUCCCCUCCCGUUCCAGCUGGAGAAAGGCAAUUGUCUUUUCAUCCAUUAAUCGGAGGCUCCAGAGGAGUAAUUUUAUUGCAGACUCAAAGAGGAGUCGGAGGAGGGAGGAGCGGGUCACUGGUGAACGGAUUAUGUUUGAUCGCUUCUCGCAGACCUGGCUUUAAAAAGUUAUAGUUUUUCUUCACGUCUCCCCAGAUCCGCCGUCUGUCCUCAGCAUCUGUUCCGGAGUAAUGUCUUUUGAUGUGUGUGGGGAAAAAUAAAAAAUGGAACCAGA